GAUGAACGCUGGCGGCGUGCCUAAUACAUGCAAGUCGAGCGAACGGACGAGAAGCUUGCUUCUCUGAUGUUAGCGGCGGACGGGUGAGUAACACGUGGAUAACCUACCUAUAAGACUGGGAUAACUUCGGGAAACCGGAGCUAAUACCGGAUAAUAUUUUGAACCGCAUGGUUCAAAAGUGAAAGACGGUCUUGCUGUCACUUAUAGAUGGAUCCGCGCUGCAUUAGCUAGUUGGUAAGGUAACGGCUUACCAAGGCAACGAUGCAUAGCCGACCUGAGAGGGUGAUCGGCCACACUGGAACUGAGACACGGUCCAGACUCCUACGGGAGGCAGCAGUAGGGAAUCUUCCGCAAUGGGCGAAAGCCUGACGGAGCAACGCCGCGUGAGUGAUGAAGGUCUUCGGAUCGUAAAACUCUGUUAUUAGGGAAGAACAUAUGUGUAAGUAACUGUGCACAUCUUGACGGUACCUAAUCAGAAAGCCACGGCUAACUACGUGCCAGCAGCCGCGGUAAUACGUAGGUGGCAAGCGUUAUCCGGAAUUAUUGGGCGUAAAGCGCGCGUAGGCGGUUUUUUAAGUCUGAUGUGAAAGCCCACGGCUCAACCGUGGAGGGUCAUUGGAAACUGGAAAACUUGAGUGCAGAAGAGGAAAGUGGAAUUCCAUGUGUAGCGGUGAAAUGCGCAGAGAUAUGGAGGAACACCAGUGGCGAAGGCGACUUUCUGGUCUGUAACUGACGCUGAUGUGCGAAAGCGUGGGGAUCAAACAGGAUUAGAUACCCUGGUAGUCCACGCCGUAAACGAUGAGUGCUAAGUGUUAGGGGGUUUCCGCCCCUUAGUGCUGCAGCUAACGCAUUAAGCACUCCGCCUGGGGAGUACGACCGCAAGGUUGAAACUCAAAGGAAUUGACGGGGACCCGCACAAGCGGUGGAGCAUGUGGUUUAAUUCGAAGCAACGCGAAGAACCUUACCAAAUCUUGACAUCCUUUGACAACUCUAGAGAUAGAGCCUUCCCCUUCGGGGGACAAAGUGACAGGUGGUGCAUGGUUGUCGUCAGCUCGUGUCGUGAGAUGUUGGGUUAAGUCCCGCAACGAGCGCAACCCUUAAGCUUAGUUGCCAUCAUUAAGUUGGGCACUCUAAGUUGACUGCCGGUGACAAACCGGAGGAAGGUGGGGAUGACGUCAAAUCAUCAUGCCCCUUAUGAUUUGGGCUACACACGUGCUACAAUGGACAAUACAAAGGGCAGCGAAACCGCGAGGUCAAGCAAAUCCCAUAAAGUUGUUCUCAGUUCGGAUUGUAGUCUGCAACCCGACUACAUGAAGCUGGAAUCGCUAGUAAUCGUAGAUCAGCAUGCUACGGUGAAUACGUUCCCGGGUCU
rnacentral:rRNA from 1 species